GUAUGGCUGUUCGCCAUUUAAAGUGGUACGCGAGCUGGGUUUAGAACGUCGUGAGACAGUUCGGUCCCUAUCUGCCGUGGGCGCUGGAGAAUUGAGGGGGGCUGCUCCUAGUACGAGAGGACCGGAGUGGACGCAUCACUGGUGUUCGGGUUGUCAUGCCAAUGGCACUGCCCGGUAGCUAAAUGCGGAAGAGAUAAGUGCUGAAAGCAUCUAAGCACGAAACUUGCCCCGAGAUGAGUUCUCCCUGAGACUUUAAGUCUCCUGAAGGAACGUUAAAGACGAUGACGUUGAUAGGCCGGGUGUGUAAGCGCAGCGAUGCGUUGAGCUAACCGGUACUAAUGAACCGUGAGGCUUAACCUUACAACGCCGAAG
rnacentral:rRNA from 1 species